GGGUGCGACCAUACCAGCACUAACGCAUCGGAUCCCAUCAGAACUCCGAAGUUAAGCGUGCUUGUGCGAGAGUAGUACUAGGAUGGGUGACCCCCUGGGAAGUCCUCGAGUUGCCCCCC
rnacentral:rRNA from 1 species